rnacentral:rRNA from 1 species
GACGAACGCUGGCGGCGUGCUUAACACAUGCAAGUCGAACGGUGACCUCGAGAGCUUGCUCUUGGGUGAUCAGUGGCGAACGGGUGAGUAACACGUGAGUAACCUGCCCCAGACUCUGGAAUAACCCCGGGAAACCGGAGCUAAUACCGGAUACGAGACGGAGCCGCAUGGCUACCGUUUGGAAAGUUUUUCGGUCUGGGAUGGACUCGCGGCCUAUCAGUUAGUUGGUGAGGUAACGGCUCACCAAGACGACGACGGGUAGCCGGCCUGAGAGGGCGACCGGCCACACUGGGACUGAGACACGGCCCAGACUCCUACGGGAGGCAG